CCUUCACCUUGGUGGAGCUUGGAUUUGAGGCUGCUGCUGCCCGCUGCACUCACAAGUGUAGGUAGUGUGCUAUAAAGGAGCAAGUCUUCCACUAACACCGCAAGGGUCUCUAGCCCAAUAAGUAGAGUUUGAUAGUAAUUCUUACUACAAGU